CCCAGUUGUGGGCAGUGGCCUAGGUUGCAUUAUACGUAGGCAAGUGUUACACUAUUGGGAGAAAAGCAUUUAUUAGCUGUGGGCAUCCUGGGCCUGGUUAAUGCCAAAUCUGAGUUAACCAUACCAGUAUGCCAGCAGU
rnacentral:snoRNA from 1 species